UCCCUCUGCAGGCCGCCUAUCUGCUGUUUAUGUCCGUUUUUGCUCAUGUUUCUGCUGUUUGGCUGAUAGCUCCAUCCACCCGGGGAGGCAUGGUGCGUGGAGAGAAGUGCCUUUUCACUUUGAUCACCCUCGAAUGCGACGCCACUGUCCUUUAUGGCUGCAUUCUUUUCGGCAGGAAUGGAAUUUCAGCCUCUGUCUUGGUUUUACAUACACAAGGCUGCAAGAUAAGUGAGGAAUUUCCCAAAGCUGGGCAAAUUGAAGCUGAUCACUCCUGAUAAGACCACAUCCACUCUUCAUUCAUCACAUUAUCAGCCCCAAAACCAUAACGAGCUGUUGGAAGAGAUGGGUUUUAUCGACGGUGUGUGCAGAGGCUAACCGACAGGAGACAGGAGAGAAGCUCAGAUAGCAGCUGAUCCCAGGUCAUUUUUGAAUCAGUAUUUUAUGCAACGAUUGAGGUCAAUUUUGAUGUCAUUGGAUACCAUACAUCCUUUGAGACUGUCGUUGAGUUAGGACUGGUUAAAGAUGAAAUUCAAAUGACCUCUCCAAUCAAACAGAGUCCAUCAGACUACCAGACCACCAGCCCGGCCGAGCUUCAGUGGGGCUCACUGAUGUCAUGUUUCCGCUCCAUACAGCAGUCGGGCCGUCCCAACAAUGUGAACCUUCUCAUGUGCUAUCCCAGCCGCAGACCUCCACCAGAAACAGUGUACACGAGCAGCAGAUAGAGAGGGAGGAAGGAAGGAUUUAAAGGCAUACAAGGCCCAAGCCUGUGGAGCGCUGCUCAGUGGGGAAUGUGAAGUAGGAGUCAGCCUAAUCUCCAGCACCCAUAAGAGACUGGCUCCUGUCUGCCUGACUGCCACUGCCAUAUCUGUGUUUCAUUUCAGCCUGUCAGGUCCUAUCUGGCUGCCCUGAAAACUGCUUCU